rnacentral:tRNA from 1 species
GCGGGUGUAGCUCAAUGGUAGAGCAGCAGCUUCCCAAGCUAAAGACGAGGGUUCGAUUCCCUUCACCCGCUCCA